CCUACGGGAGGCAGCAGUGAGGAAUAUUGGUCAAUGGCCGGAAGGCUGAACCAGCCAAGUCGCGUGAGGGACGACUGCCCUAUGGGUUGUAAACCUCUUUUAUAAGGGAAGAAUAAAUGCUACGUGUAGCAUGAUGCCUGUACCUUAUGAAUAAGCAUCGGCUAACUCCGUGCCAGCAGCCGCGGUAAUACGGAGGAUGCGAGCGUUAUCCGGAUUUAUUGGGUUUAAAGGGUGCGUAGGAGGUUUUUUAAGUCAGCGGUAAAAUCGUGGGGCUCAACCCCAUCCAGCCGUUGAAACUGGGGAUCUUGAGUGUGCGAGAGGUAUGCGGAAUGCGUGGUGUAGCGGUGAAAUGCAUAGAUAUUACGCAGAACCCCGAUUGCGAAGGCAGCAUACCGGUGCAUAACUGACGCUCAGGCACGAAAGCGUGGGUAUCGAACAGGAUUAGAUACCCCAGUAGUC
rnacentral:rRNA from 1 species